rnacentral:rRNA from 1 species
AGAGUUUGAUCCUGGCUCAGGAUGAACGCUAGCGGCAGGCUUAAUACAUGCAAGUCGUGGGGCAGCAGGUUUGUAGCAAUACAGAUGCUGGCGACCGGCAAACGGGUGCGGAACACGUACACAACCUUCCUUUAAGUGGGGAAUAGCCCAGAGAAAUUUGGAUUAAUACCCCGUAACAUUAUGAUGUGGCAUCACAUUAUAAUUAUAGCUACGGCGCUUAAUGAUGGGUGUGCGGCUGAUUAGGUAGUUGGCGGGGUAACGGCCCACCAAGCCUGCGAUCAGUAACUGGUGUGAGAGCACGACCAGUCACACGGGCACUGAGACACGGGCCCGACUCCUACGGGAGGCAGCAGUAAGGAAUAUUGGGCAAUGGAGGAAACUCUGACCCAGCCAUGCCGCGUGGAGGAUGAAGGUCCUCUGGAUUGUAAACUUCUUUUAUAUGGGACGAAAAAGGGUCUUUCUAGGUCAACUGACGGUACCAUAUGAAUAAGCACCGGCUAACUCCGUGCCAGCAGCCGCGGUAAUACGGAGGGUGCAAGCGUUAUCCGGAUUCACUGGGUUUAAAGGGUGCGUAGGUGGGUUGGUAAGUCAGUGGUGAAAUCCCCGAGCUUAACUUGGGAACUGCCAUUGAUACUAUUAGCCUUGAAUACCGUGGAGGUCGGCGGAAUAUGUCAUGUAGCGGUGAAAUGCUUAGAUAUGACAUAGAACACCAAUUGCGAAGGCAGCUGACUACUCGGAUAUUGACACUAAGGCACGAAAGCGUGGGGAUCAAACAGGAUUAGAUACCCUGGUAGUCCACG